rnacentral:lncRNA from 1 species
UAAAAGACUAAAAAAUAAAUAUGUGAGGUGUCAGAUAUACACAAAGUCUAAGAAUGUACAGAUAUUAUUGCAUUUUUAGAAAGGGAUAAUUAUCUAUAUAUUCCUUAUACGUUUGAAAAUAUCCGAUUUAUCUCUAUUCUUCUUUUUUUUUUUCAUUCUAAAAUACUCCUCAUAUGUUCCACCGUUAUUGCAAAAUACCCCCGCUGUUAUCUCCUGUUAAGUUAACUUAAGUUAAACGUGGGUUAAAUAUCUACCGCAGUUAAAAAAAUAAAAUGUCAAUUUUGCCCUUAACUUAAGGGCAAAUAAGAAAUAUUGGUGACGGUAGAGGGGUAUAUUGGAAAAGACCAAAAGUCAAAAUACUUUUUGUGCCCCUGACUUUAAGGGCAAAUAAAAAAGUCAGUGAUGGUGAAAGCGUAUAUUUGAAAGGGCAAAAUACCCUCGCAGUUAUCUCCUGUUAAGUUAACUUAAGUUAAACGUGGGUUAAAUAUCUACCACAGUUAAAAAAAAAUAAAAUGUCAAUUUUGCCCCUAACUUAAGGGCAAAUAAGAAAUAUUAGUGACGGUAGAGGGGUAUAUUGGAAAAGACCAAAAGUCAAAAUACUUUUUGUGUCCCUGACUUUAAGGACAAAUAAGAAAGUCAGUGAUGGUGGAAGGAUAUAUUUGAAAGGGCAAAAUAGUAAUUUUACAGAGAUAACAUAGUUUAUUGACAUAUUUUAACCCUAGGGGUAUAUUAGAAAUAGGUUGGAACGUAAAAAAGGUAUUUUCAAUAUUAGCCUUCUAAGAGGGGUAAAUCGGAAAGUCGGAAAUUUUUCAGAAAUAUAUAAGCAAUUGCUCCUUUUAGAAAAGAUGGGUAUUUUCGGAAGUACAAGUGUUUAUAUACAUAAAAAUCAAGUUUUAGAAAAGCAAAUAGCGCAUGCUAGGAAUAUUUAAAUUUUGCAGGAAUAUAUAAAAAAAAUUGAUAAUUUGUCGCGAAUAUAUGUGUAAAUGUCUUUUUGACAAGUGAAUUAGGUAUCAUUAAUUAAUUAAGCAACCCAUCUAAUCCCAAUCUUCCAUGAUUAAGGGGGUGUUUGUUUCCUCGAAAUAUCGUGAAAAAUUAUUUUUUAAAAAUUUUUAUAUGGAAAUAAUUUAUUUCUAAACUUUACUUUCUUUUUUUUUCGGAUAAAACUGGAAAACUAGGAAUUUUUUUUUUUUUUUUGAAAAAGCUAUUUACUUGAGAAUCAAAUAGAGGAAAAGUACUUUUCCAACCAAUAAUUAAAUUAGUUUUUAAAAUACUUUUCAAAAACCAAACACACCCUAAAUGGUUACAUAUUUUUCAAUGCAGUGUCUAUUCACAUCAAAAUUUUAUAACGAUAAAGGAACCCUAAUCCGUUGUUAUCUAUCACUUUUAUCUCUAUCCAAGAAUUAUAAUCUUUAUCUCUAUAAUUUUUUUUGAAGUAUUCAAAAUAUCCAACGAAUUAUUGAAUAGAGUCAAAAUUAACAAGUGACAGUAAAUAGAGGGCUCUUUAAUGAGGGGUCGUUGGGCAGCUCGCUAUUAAAAUUUUGGGAUAAUUACCUAUAUACCCCUCAAAACUUUGGAAAUAUCUAAUUUAUCCUUACUUUUUUUUUCUUUCCAAUAUACCCUUCAUAUGUUCCUCAAUCACUCGUUAAAUUAACUUGAAUUAAAUGUGAGUUAAAUAUCCACCACAGUUAAAAAAAAUUUAAAAUACCACUUUUGCCCUUAACUUAAGGGCAAAUAAGAAAUGUUGGUGACGGUAGAAGAGUAUAUUUGAAAAGACCAGAAAGUAAAAUACUUUUUGUGCCCCUAACUUAAGGACAAAUAAGAAAAGUCGGUGCUAAUAGAAGUAUAUAUUUGAAAGGGCAAAAUAGUAAAUUUUAUAGAGAUAACAGAAUUCAUUAACAGAUUUUAACUCUAGGGGUGUAUUUGAAAUAGGUUGGAACAUAAAAAGAGUAUUUUUAAUAUUAGCCUUCUAAGAGGGGUAAAUCAUAAAGUCGAAAACUUUUCAGGGAUAUAUAAACAAUUGCCCCUAAAAUUUUAUCCUAUUCUAUGGACACACCAUCCAACUAUUUAUUUUUCUUAUGUCAACUUCUUCAU